UACGGAGGGGGCGAGCGUUGUUAGGAAUUACUGGGCGUAAAGCGCACGUAGGCGGACUGGAAAGUCAGGGGUGAAAUCCCGGGGCUCAACCCCGGAACUGCCUUUGAAACUCCCGGUCUUGAGGUCGAGAGAGGUGAGUGGAAUUCCGAGUGUAGAGGUGAAAUUCGUAGAUAUUCGGAGGAACACCAGUGGCGAAGGCGGCUGACUGGCUCGAUACUGACGCUGAGGUGCGAAAGCGUGGGGAGCAAACAGG
rnacentral:rRNA from 1 species